rnacentral:rRNA from 1 species
AGAGUUUGAUCCAUGGCUCAGGACGAACGCUGGCGGCGUGCUUAACACAUGCAAGUCGAGCGGUAAGGCCUUUCGGGGUACACGAGCGGCGAACGGGUGAGUAACACGUGGGUGAUCUGCCCUGCACUUCGGGAUAAGCCUGGGAAACUGGGUCUAAUACCGGAUAUGACCUCCUAUCGCAUGGUGGGUGGUGGAAAGAUUUAUCGGUGCAGGAUGGGCCCGCGGCCUAUCAGCUUGUUGGUGGGGUAAUGGCCUACCAAGGCGACGACGGGUAGCCGACCUGAGAGGGUGACCGGCCACACUGGGACUGAGACACGGCCCAGACUCCUACGGGAGGCAGCAGUGGGGAAUAUUGCACAAUGGGCGAAAGCCUGAUGCAGCGACGCCGCGUGAGGGAUGACGGCCUUCGGGUUGUAAACCUCUUUCAGCAGGGACGAAGCGCAAG